AUUGAACGCUGGCGGCAGGCAUAACACAUGCAAGUCGAGCGAGCGGCGGACGGGUGAGUAAUGUAUGGGGAAUGCGCGAUAGAGGGGGAUAACUACUGGAAACGGUGGCUAAUACAGCAUACUGUCGGAUAACCCAUAUGGUGUGAGCGAGUAGGUAAGGUAAUGUCUUACCUAGGCGACGAUCCCUAGCUGGUCUGAGAGGAGGAUCAGCCACACUGGGACUGAGACACGGCCCAGACGCCUACGGAGGCAGCAGUGGGGAAUAUUGCACAAUGGGCGCAAGCCUGAUGCAGCCAUGCCGCGUGUAUGAAGAAGGCCCUAGGGUUGUAAAGUACUUUCAGUCGGGAGGCGUUACCGACAGAAGAAGCACCGGCUAACUCCGUGCCAGCCGCCGCGGUAAUAC
rnacentral:rRNA from 1 species